AUGAUAUAUUUCACACAAUAAAAUGCACUUCCAUCUCUCCCCAAAAUUGAGCUUCUUCCCCCCAAAGAUGAGCCUUCUUCCCCCCAAAAUUUUCAGCCCAAAUUUUCAGCAAAACAAAUCGAUCUCUUCCUGAACGCCAUUUUUACUCUGUUCUUCAUCACUCAAUACACACCCGUUUCUCCUCUCCCCUCGAACCCUAACCAACCGGCGGCAACCUCUACCCCACACGAAAACCCUAAUUACUAACCGGCGGCAACCAUUUCCUCACCUGCGAAAACCCUAAUUACCUAACCGGAGAAAACCCCAAUCACCUAACCUACGGCUACAAACCCUAAUCGGAGUGUAAUAGGAGGAGGAGGUUGUUGUUAUACCUUUUCACUUGAGCUUGAACCGAGACAUAAAUAGAUUUUACGCGAACGCAACCGACCUUACCAGUCAAAAUGAUAUUGGUGGUGAACAAGUUACUUCUGUGCUUGAAGAAAUGGCGAAUCUUAAUAGUUAUAUAUAG
rnacentral:lncRNA from 1 species